AUUGAACGCUGGCGGCAUGCCUUACACAUGCCAGUCGAACGGUAACAGGUCUUCGGAUGCUGACGAGUGGCGAACGGGUGAGUAAUACAUCGGAACGUGCCCGAUCGUGGGGGAUAACGAGGCGAAAGCUUUGCUAAUACCGCAUACGAUCUACGGAUGAAAGCGGGGGAUCUUCGGGCCUCGCGCGGACGGAGCGGCCGAUGGCAGAUUAGGUAGUUGGUGGGAUAAAAGCUUACCAAGCCGACGAUCUGUAGCUGGUCUGAGAGGAUGAUCAGCCACACUGGGACUGAGACACGGCCCAGACUCCUACGGGAGGCAGCAGUGGGGAAUUUUGGACAAUGGGCGAAAGCCUGAUCCAGCCAUGCCGCGUGCAGGAUGAAGGCCUUUGGGUUGUAAACUGCUUUUGUACGGAACGAAAAGCCUCUUUCUAAUAAAGAGGGGUCAUGACGGUACCGUAAGAAUAAGCACCGGCUAACUACGUG
rnacentral:rRNA from 1 species